GACGAACGCUGGCGGCGUGCUUAACACAUGCAAGUCGAACGGAAAGGCCCUGCUUUUGUGGGGUGCUCGAGUGGCGAACGGGUGAGUAACACGUGAGUAACCUGCCCUUGACUUUGGGAUAACUUCAGGAAACUGGGGCUAAUACCGGAUAGGAGCUCUUGCUGCAUGGUGGGGGUUGGAAAGUUUCGGCGGUUGGGGAUGGACUCGCGGCUUAUCAGCUUGUUGGUGGGGUAGUGGCUUACCAAGGCUUUGACGGGUAGCCGGCCUGAGAGGGUGACCGGCCACAUUGGGACUGAGAUACGGCCCAGACUCCUACGGGAGGCAGCAGUGGGGAAUAUUGCACAAUGGGCGGAAGCCUGAUGCAGCAACGCCGCGUGCGGGAUGCCGGCCUUCGGGUUGUAAACCGCUUUCGCCUGUGCCGAAGCGUGAGUGACGGUAAUGGGUAAAGAAGCACCGGCUAACUACGUG
rnacentral:rRNA from 1 species